UAUUAUAUUGUAAUGGUUAUUGGCUGGUGGCGCCGCCAAUGGUGAGCGGUGAUAUUAACACGUGAAGUGUGUAAUGUUUUUAUAUUUUGUAAGUUGCUAUUUGACUGUCAUUGAAUAAAGUCAUAUUUUUGUAGAUUUGAAAAUAAUUCUUGCAUUUAUUUGUGUGAUUGCAAAUGAUAAUACAUUACAAUAUAAAACUAUGCAGACUUCCAGGUAUGUGUUUUGUUCGUUGCUAUGUAGCAUAUUAUUAUCAUCAUCAUCAUUAUUAUUAUUAUUAUCUACAUUGGUUGAUCCACGUUAAACAACCGGCCAAUUUUUUGAACUUGAGAAAGAAAAAAAAUUCCAAAUUAUAUAGAAUGAAUACAAUCUGUGAUUUUAUCAGCGACAAUUUUUCAAAGACGACAAGAUCGAUGAAAAACAUCAUCAUUACAAUGUAACUUUGUGCAAAAUCAUUUAGACACAUGUAUAGAGUCUAGACAACGAAUGUUUUUCAUAGUAUAAAUACUAGGUUUAAAAAUUACCAUUCACAUUGAAUCUUCUAUAUUCUAUGUAAUGUCGACAAUUUUCAUGAAGAAUAAAAUAAAAGAAGCUAAACUAAGAAUACAUCUGAGUGGCGUUGAUCCCAAAUACCGUUGGAACAUUCCAACUACGACAACACACUCUGAAUGCUCAACUAUGGCAACGAUCCAUUUUCAUUGGCAUCAACUAAAUGUUUGUGCAUUGUACUCUGACAGUGUAACGUAUGCUGUUUUUUGAAUUCAGGCAUCGAACUCAUGGUGAGUUUUAUCAUCAUCAUCAUCAUUAGCAAUACCAAAAGCCCAUAUGAAAGUUUUCAGUCCGGAUUUUUUUUUGUGGAACCAUCAUCGAAUCAGCAGCAACAGUAAAUAGCUAUAGCUGUUUGGUUACCCUAAUUAUAUCCAAAUAUAUACAUCAAGCCCAGAAGUUCAUAGUAGCAGCCAUAUCAUUAUCAUGAUUACAUAUUGAAUUAUAGUAGUCAAAAGUUUUUUCCCAUUCAGCCAAAAUCACUGCUUGUCUUGGGUGUGUAAUGAUAAUGAACACAUUCUUUAAGAUUUGUUGCCAUUGAAAGACUGUGGUUAACUGUAUUAUUUAAAUUUUUCACAUGAAAAUUAUCGCUAAAAUUCAAAAAAAAAAAUUCCGUAUUUUUUUGUGACAUGUUCAAAUCCUAUUCAAAUA